GGGCGCAAKYCUGAUGCAGCGACGCCGCGUGCGGGAUGACGGCCUUCGGGUUGUAAACCGCUUUUGACUGGGAGCAAGCCCUUCGGGGUGAGUGUACCUUUCGAAUAAGCACCGGCUAACUACGUGCCAGCAGCCGCGGUAAUACGUAGGGUGCAAGMGWWAWCMGGAAUUAUUGGGCGUAAAGGGCUCGUAGGCGGUUCGUCGCGUCCGGUGUGAWAGUCCAUCGCUUAACGGUGGAUCCGCGCCGGGUACGGGCGGGCUUGAGUGCGGUAGGGGAGACUGGAAUUCCCGGUGUAACGGUGGAAUGUGUAGAUAUCGGGAAGAACACC
rnacentral:rRNA from 1 species